rnacentral:rRNA from 1 species
CGCCUCCUGAAAAAAUAUAAGAGGUCCAGCCUGCCCAGUGACUUGUUUAACGGCCGCGGUAUCCUAACCGUGCGAAGGUAGCGUAAUCACUUGUCUUUUAAAUAAAGACUAGUAUGAAAGGCAUCACGAGGGUCAAACUGUCUCCCUUUUCUAAUCAGUAAAACUAAUCUUCCCGUGAAGAAGCGGGAAUUUCUCUAUAAGACGAGAAGACCCUAUGGAGCUUUAAACUGUAAGUUAUUCGCCUGCUCCCCCCCCCAAUUUCAGAAAUUUUACACUUUAGGCCCAUUAACUACACGUUUUAGGUUGGGGCGACCUAGGAGCAAAACAAACCCUCCUAGCUGACACGGGCCAAGCCCUGAAAAAUAAAGCCACAACUUUAACCCCCAAUAAAUUGACAUCAAUUGACCCAGUCCGCUGAGCAACGAACCAAGUUACCCUAGGGAUAACAGCGCAAUCUACUUCAAGAGUCCCUAUCGACAAGUGGGUUUACGACCUCGAUGUUGGAUCAGGGUGUCCAAGUGGUGCAGCCGCUACUAAAGGUUCGUUUGUUCAACGAUUAAAACCCU